GACAGAGGGUGCAAACGUUGUUCGGAAUUACUGGGCGUAAAGCGCGUGUAGGCGGCUACGUAAGUCGGACGUGAAAGCCCACGGCUCAACCGUGGAAGUGCGCUCGAAACUGUGUAGCUUGAGUCUUGGAGAGGAAGGCGGAAUACUUGGUGUAGAGGUGAAAUUCGUAGAUAUCAGGUAGAACACCAGUGGCGAAGGCGGCCUUCUGGACAAUGACUGACGCUGAGACGCGAAAGCGUGGGGAGCAAACAGG
rnacentral:rRNA from 1 species